rnacentral:rRNA from 1 species
GGAUAAUCUACCCUAUGGUCGGGGAUAACCUCGGGAAACUGAGGAUAACACCCGAUAAGAGAUCAGUUCUGGAAUGAUUCUUCUCUGAAAGUUUACCCCAUAGGAUGAGUCGGCGGCUGAUUAGGUUGUUGGUGGGGUAAUGGCCCACCAAGCCGACAAUCAGUAAGGGCCAUGAAAGUGGUAGCCCUGAGAAGGUCACUGAAACACUGGACCUAGCCCUACGGGGUGCAGCAGGCGCGAAACCUUUACAAUGCUCGAAAGUGUGAUAAGGGGAUUCCAAGUGCCUAACUAUGUUAGGCUUUUGCCGAGAGUAAAUAUCUUGGCGAAUAAGUGGUGGGCAAGACUGGUGCCAGCAGCCGCGGUAACACCAGCGCCACAAGUGGGGACCAGAUUUAUUGGGCCUAAAGCGUUCGUAGCCGGUUGUGUAAAUCCUUUGUGAAAUCGUCGAGCUUAACUUGACGGAUGGCAGGGGAGACUGCACAACUAGAGACCGGAAGGAGUUAGAAGUACUUUUUGGGGAGCGGUAAAAUGCAAUAAUCCAAAAAAGACUACCUGUGGCGAAGGCGUCUAACUAGGACGGGUCUGACGGUGAGGA